GAAGAGUUGUGGAAACCAAUGGAUACGAAGCACUAGCACAGACUGUAACAUUUCUUCAAGAAAAGUAUCACAUCUGCUGACUUCGAAGGAACAUGCGCUUGAAACAAACAAACAAACACAUAAGUAAAAUCCAGAACAGGAACCAGAUCAACCAGGAUUUCUGAAGAGACACUGAUAUCACCACAGCGGCUUUUCUUCAAACAGGAGAUGCAAACCUGGAUGCUGACAAAGGAGUGCCUGUUUGCCACCAAGGAUGCAGUUACCAUGUGUGACCCAUGGUAGCAGUCACUGAGCAUCUUUAUCUGUCAUUCCUUAGCUAUAUAGGGACCAAAGGACAAAACUUUUUACCGCAGACUUGUAGCUGUAUGUAAAAUAUGGAAGUUCUUUCCUUUUCUCUGAGCUGUUCCUAAAACAGUUUUUGAGAGCGAUUAUAAGAAAUAUAUAAAAAUUAAAAAAAAAUGCUUAAAUGCUUUUAAAACGGCAAGAUAAUAGUUCUUUGAUACUUUGGGAGGUUAUUUGGUUAUACAUUAAUUAGAGUCUAUGAAGCUUUCAUAUGGUUUUCUGUAUAAUACGUAAGGAUUGCGCUGUUAAAGGCAGGUAAGAUGGAUAUCUAUGAAAA